AAAUUUCAAAUAAUUAUUUGGUUAGGUUAAUUGACAGUAAUGAUUCAAUAUGAAACAUUGUACUGCUUACAGGAAUGUGUUAAGAGGAUCAAGGAUGACAAUAGUGGCCAAAAACACUGCACCGGACAAUACUUUGAUUACUGGUCUUGUGUUGACAAAUGUGUUGCGCCGUUGCUUUUUAAAUAUGUCAAAUAGAGGAUUCGGAAGGAGAUUUUGUGGGUCUUACUCUCGAUGUUACCACCUAAAUAAAACCUUAUUUUGAACUUAGAUUGGUACCAUUAUGUAGACCUAAAACUAGCAAUAUGCUUGUUUAAUUUCUUCAUAAAGACAAAUUUUGAAUUAUGAAGAUCUUUGUUCAACUUGAUUAAUCAAGGUUUGGUCUUUCGUGUUUGAUAUUGAAUUCAGUUAACUGUAAGAAAAUUGGAUGAGAACAAUUGAGUGAGUUGAUUCUGAGCAGUAAACUGCAGUUCUUUUUGUUUGUUUUUCCAA